GACAGAGGGUGCAAACGUUGUUCGGAAUUACUGGGCGUAAAGCGCGUGUAGGCGGCCCGGAAAGUCGGAUGUGAAAGCCCUGGGCUUAACCUAGGAAGUGCAUUCGAAACUCCCGUGGCUUGAGUUCUGGAGAGGGAAGCGGAAUUCUCGGUGUAGAGGUGAAAUUCGUAGAUAUCGAGAGGAACACCGAUGGCGAAGGCAGGUCUCUGGGCUGACACUGACGCUCAUGCACGAAAGCGUGGGGAGCAAACAGG
rnacentral:rRNA from 1 species